UAUUAACACAUCAGAGUGAUGGCAAGAGCAGAGUAUGGAGGAGCGAAGGAACUGCCCAAUAUCCAAAGCAUACCACCUCAUCUAUGAAACAUGGGGGUGGGGGUGUAAUGGCCUGGGCAUGUAUGGCUACUGAAGGUACUGGCUCGCUUAUCUUCAUUGAUGAUACAACUGCUGAUGGUAGUAACAUAAUGAAUUCUGAAGUGUAUAGACACAUCCUAUCUGCUCAAGUUCAAACAAAUUCCUCAAAACUCAAUGGCUGGCAGUCCAUUCCACAGCAAGACAAUGAUCCCAAAUAUAUUGCUAAAGCAA